GUUCCGUAGGUGAACCUGCGGAAGGAUCAUUCAUAGUAAAGUGUUUUAUGGCACUUUUUAAAAAUCCAUAUCCACCUUGUGUGCAAUGUUAGAUCUCGUCAAUCUUGGCGAGAUUUUUAUACAUCAACUCAUUUUUUAACUAAUUUGUCUGAAAAAUAUUAUGAAUACUUAAUUCAAAAUACAACUUUCAACAACGGAUCUCUUGGCUCUC
rnacentral:misc_RNA from 1 species